UGCGCGCCCCCGACUAGCCAGCAA
rnacentral:misc_RNA from 1 species